GGAUUGGGAGGGUUCUACGGAACCCGUUUGGUGAAUCUAGUGCCGAGAAAAGCCUUCUAUGUGUUGAAUUUCUAGUACCCGUACCCCAAACCGACACAGGUGGGUGGGUAGAGCAUACCUAGGGGCGCGUGAUAACUCUCUCUAAGGAACUCGGCAAAAUGGCCCUGUAACUUCGGGAUAAGGGGUGCCUGCGUGAGCAGGCCGCAGUGAAAUGGCUCUGGCGACUGUUUACCAAAAACACAGGUCUCUGCUAAGUCGUAAGACGAUGUAUAGGGGCUGACUCCUGCCCAGUGCCGGAAGGUUAAGGAAGUUGGUUAGCGCAAGCGAAGCUGGCGACCGAAGCCCCGGUGAACGGCGGCCGUAACAAUAACGGUCCUAAGGUAGCGAAAUUCCUUGUCGGGUAAGUUCCGACCCGCACGAAAGGAGUAACGAUCAGAGCGCUGUCUCGGAGAGAGACACGGCGAAAUAGGAUUGUCCGUGAAGAUACGGACUACCUGCACCCGGACAGAAAGACCCUAUGAAGCUUUACUGUAACUUGGAAUUGUGUUCGGACUUUGUCUGCGCAGAAUAGGUGGGAGGCUAUGAAACGUUCCUCGCGGGGAACUGGAGCCAUCGUUGAGAUACCACUCUGGCAGAGUCUGGAUUCUAACCUACGGGGACAGUUCCAGGUGGGCAGUUUGACUGGGGCGGUCGCCUCCUAAAAUGUAACGGAGGCGCGCAAAGGUUCCCUCAGGCUGGUUGGAAAUCAGCCAUAGAGUGUAAAAGCAUAAGGGAGCUUGACUGUGAGACCUACAAGUCGAGCAGGGACGAAAGUCGGCUUUAGUGAUCCGACGGCACUGAGUGGAAGGGCCGUCGCUCAACGGAUAAAAGUUACUCUAAGGAUAACAGGCUGAUCUCCCCCAAGAGUUCACAUCGACGGGGAGGUUUGGCACCUCGAUGUCGGCUCGUCGCAACCUGGGGCGGUAGUACGUCCCAAGGGUUGGGCUGUUCGCCCAUUAAAGCGGCACGUGAGCUGGGUUCAGAACGUCGUGAGACAGUUCGGUCCAUAUCCGGUGUAGGCGUAGGAGCAUUGAAAGGAUCUCUCCUUAGUACGAGAGGACCGGGAGGGACGUACCUCUGGUGUACCUGUUAUCGUGCCAACGGUAAACGCAGGGUAGCCAUGUACGGAGUGGAUAACCGCUGAAAGCAUCUAAGUGGGAAGCCCACCUUAAGAUGAGUGCUCCCUUGAGGCCACGGGAAGACGACCCGUUUGAUAGGCGCUAGGUGGAAGUGCAGUAAUGCAUGCAGCCGAGGCGUACUAAUAGGCCGAUGGCUUGUCC
rnacentral:rRNA from 1 species